CUUUGUGACCUCAUCCAUUCACUUGGCAUCAAAAUACCAAUUAUUUGCUAAAAUUCUCCACAUUUUAUCUCCUCCCAGACCCUUCUCAUGGAGCCCAAACAUCUUCACAGAUUGCAAGUUCCAUGAGGAAGCAGGCAGAAAGGGCCCUUACCCUGGGCUCACCUGUAGAUGGCCACGCUCUUGCUCUACUCUGGCCACAGUCCAUUCCACACACUGAGAAGUAACCGGGCCCAAGAGGAUGGAUCCAUGGGGAGCCCAUUCCCCCAUUCUAGAUUAUAAAUCAGGGAUUUCCUUCUGUCACAUCAAAAUGUACCUGUCCAAUGGCUCUCCAUUAGCCUAGGAGCACCUGGAGGAUAGGACCAUUCUUCAUCCAUCCUCAAGUUCCUCCCAUGCUCACUGUUUGCCCCAUGCUCACAUCAGAGAUCUACCCCUCAAAUCAGAUGGGACUCCAUGAUGGCUGAAACAGGGCAGAAAGGAAGGACAGAGAACACAGCAAGGAGAUCUGC